ACUGAAUGUUCUCUUGCUCAUCUGUUUACUCACACCACCUCCCAGACCAUCUCAUCGAUCCUUCUUGCUCCUACAGGCCUUGUGGCUGAAGUCCCCUGGAAAUACCUGUGGAGCGAUUGGGUUGUGAAAGAAGAUGGGUUGCUGUUUCCAUUUAACCAAAAAAACACAUACACUAGUUGGAUGGCCAUUCAAGUGGCAAAGAAGACCAGUGGGAGGCCAGAAGGAGCCUUCCUUAAUCUAAAGGGUUUAAAAAUGCUGGGAACUUGUGGCUGCUUUCACUUCAGUAAUGGGGCAGUGGAGCUGACAGGUUUUAUGCCGUCUGCUCUGCAAGCUGUGGAUUGUGAAUUUGAACACAAGGAUUUUCCGAUGUGAUGUCUGAAAGUUCAGCCUCAAUAGACAAGAAAAUACUUUCACUUUUAAUCCAGAUACAGCACAAGAUUUUUACUGUCUUGUGCCAAAGAACUCCUCCCCUGUUCUUCAGC